rnacentral:rRNA from 1 species
UACGUAGGGGGCAAGCGUUGUCCGGAUUUAUUGGGCGUAAAGAGCGUGUAGGCGGCCUUACAGGUCAGCUGUGAAAACUCGAGGCUCAACCUCGAGAGGUCGGUUGAAACCGUAAGGCUAGAGUCCGGAAGAGGAGAGUGGAAUUCCCGGUGUAGCGGUGAAAUGCGCAGAUAUCAUUUGGAACGCCAAUGGUGAAAACAGGUAGCUGGGGCUGUGCUGACGCUGAGACACGAAAGCCAGGGGAGCAAACGGG